GUGCUCGUUUCAGCAGCACAUAUAUUAAUAUUGGAACGGUACAGAGAAGAUUAGCAUGGUCCCUGAUCAAGGAUGACACGCAAGUUCAUGAAGUGUUCCAUAUUUUU
ensembl:snRNA U6 U6 spliceosomal RNA